rnacentral:misc_RNA from 1 species
AACGCACAUUGCGCCCGCUAGCACUCUAGCGGGCAUGCCUGUUCGAGCGUCAUUUUCAACCCUCAGGCGUUGGUCUCUUAGCGGACCUCUUGCCUGGCGAUGGGGCUGCUACGGCCGCUUGUGCCGUAGGCUCCCAAGGACAGUGGCGGGCUCGCCGAGACUCCGAGCGCAGUAGAUUAUUUUUCUCGCUCAGGGGGCCUCGGCGGGGUUCAUCUUGCCGUGAAAACACCCACAAUAUCGAAAUUUUGACCUCGGAUCAGGUAGGAAUACCCGCUGAACUUAA